UACGUAGGGUGCGAGCGUUAAUCGGAAUUACUGGGCGUAAAGCGUGCGCAGGCGGUUUUGUAAGCCAGAUGUGAAAUCCCCGGGCUUAACCUGGGAAUGGCAUUUGGGACUGCAAGGCUUGAGUGCGGCAGAGGAGACUGGAAUUCCUGGUGUAGCAGUGAAAUGCGUAGAUAUCAGGAGGAACACCGAUGCGAAGGCAGGUCUCUGGGCCGUAACUGACGCUGAGGAGCGAAAGCAUGGGGAGCGAACAGG
rnacentral:rRNA from 1 species